CAGCCGCCGCGGUAACACCAGCGCCUCGAGUGGGGAUCGCGAUUAUUGGGUCUAAAGCGUCCGUAGCAGGCUUUGUAAAUGCUUUGUGAAAUCGACAGGCUUAACCUGUCGGCGUGCAGAGUAGACUGCAGAGCUCGAGACCGGGAGAGGUUAGCAGUAUUCCUAGGGUACCGGUAAAAUGGGUUAAUCCUAGGAGGACUACCAAUGGCGAAGGCAGCUAACCAGAACGGUUCUGACUGUGAGGGACGAAAGCUAGGGGAGCAAAACGGAUUAGAUACCCGAGUAGUCCUAGCCGUAAACGCUGUGAGCAAGGUAUUGGGCUUCCUACGAGGACGCCCAGUGUCGAAACGAAGGUGAUAAGCUCACCACCAGGGAAGUACGGUCGCAAGGCUGAAACUUUAAGGAAUUGGCGGGGGAGCGCCACAAGGGGUGCGGCGUGCGGUUCAAUCUAACUCAACGCAGAGAACCUCACUAGACCCGACGGCAGAAUGAAGAUCAUGCUGAAGACAUUAUCUGACAAGCCGAGAGGUGGUGCAUGGCC
rnacentral:rRNA from 1 species